rnacentral:rRNA from 1 species
CCUACGGGAGGCAGCAGUGAGGAAUAUUGGUCAAUGGGCGCGAGCCUGAACCAGCCAAGUAGCGUGAAGGAUGACUGCCCUAUGGGUUGUAAACCUCUUUUGUCGGAGAACAAAACCCGGGACGUGUCCCGGACUGGGUGUUUCCGAAGAAAAAGCAUCGGCUAACUCCGUGCCAGCAGCCGCGGUAAUACGGAGGAUGCGAGCGGUAUCCGGAUUUAUUGGGUUUAAAGGGUGCGUAGGCGGUCCGUUAAGUCAGCGGUAAAAUUGCGGGGCUCAACCCCGUCGAGCCGUUGAAACUGGCAGACUUGAGUUGGCGAGAAGUACGCGGAAUGCGCGGUGUAGCGGUGAAAUGCAUAGAUAUCGCGCAGAACUCCGAUUGCGAAGGCAGCGUACCGGCGCCAGACUGACGCUGAGGCACGAAAGCGUGGGGAUCGAACAGGAUUAGAUACCCGAGUAGUC